rnacentral:rRNA from 1 species
UACGUAGGGUGCGAGCGUUAAUCGGAAUUACUGGGCGUAAAGCGUGCGCAGGCGGUGGUGUAAGACAGGUGUGAAAUCCCCGGGCUUAACCUGGGAAGUGCAUUUGUGACUGCAUCGCUGGAGUGCGGCAGAGGGGGAUGGAAUUCCGCGUGUAGCAGUGAAAUGCGUAGAUAUGCGGAGGAACACCGAUGGCGAAGGCGAUCCCCUGGGCCUGCACUGACGCUCAUGCACGAAAGCGUGGGGAGCAAACAGG